rnacentral:rRNA from 1 species
UUGGAGGGCAAGUCUGGUGCCAGCAGCCGCGGUAAUUCCAGCUCCAAUAGCGUAUAUUAAAGUUGUUGCAGUUAAAAAGCUCGUAGUUGAACUUCGGAAUCAAUGGAUUGGUCAUGCCGUUGGUAUGUACUGGUCAUAUUGGUUCUCACCUUCUAAGGAACCAUAAUGUCAUUCAUUUGAUGUUUUGGGGAAUUAGGACUGUUACCUUGAAAAAAUUAGAGUGUUUAAAGCAGGCUAACGCUUGAAUACAUUAGCAUGGAAUAAUGAAAUAGGACAUCGCAUUCUAUUUUGUUGGUUUCUAGGAUCGAUGUAAUGAUUAAUAGGGAUAGUUGGGGGCAUUAGUAUUCAAUUGUCAGAGGUGAAAUUCUUGGAUUUAUUGAAGACUAACUACUGCGAAAGCAUUUGCCAAGGAUGUUUUCAUUAAUCAAGAACGAAAGUUAGGGGAUCGAAGACGAUCAGAUACCGUCGUAGUCUUAACCAUAAACUAUGCCGACUAGGAAUCAGACGAUGUUAAUUUUUUAAUGACUCGUUCGGCGCCUUACGGGAAAC